rnacentral:rRNA from 1 species
UACGGGGGGGGCAAGCGUUGUUCGGAAUUACUGGGCGUAAAGGGCGUGUAGGCGGCCAACUAAGUCCGACGUGAAAUCCCCAGGCUCAACCUGGGAACUGCGUCUGAUACUGGAUGGCUUGAAUCCGGGAGAGGGAUGCAGAAUUCCAGGUGUAGCGGUGAAAUGCGUAGAUAUCUGGAGGAAUACCGGUGGCGAAGGCGGCAUCCUGGACCGGCAUUGACGCUGAGGAGCGAAAGCCAGGGGAGCAAACGGG